GAUGAACGCUGGCGGCGUGCUUAACACAUGCAAGUCGAACGAUGAAGCCCAGCUUGCUGGGUGGAUUAGUGGCGAACGGGUGAGUAACACGUGAGUAACCUGCCCUUAACUCUGGGAUAAGCCUGGGAAACUGGGUCUAAUACCGGAUAGGAGCGUCCACCGCAUGGUGGGUGUUGGAAAGAUUUAUCGGUUUUGGAUGGACUCGCGGCCUAUCAGCUUGUUGGUGAGGUAAUGGCUCACCAAGGCGACGACGGGUAGCCGGCCUGAGAGGGUGACCGGCCACACUGGGACUGAGACACGGCCCAGACUCCUACGGGAGGCAGCAGUGGGGAAUAUUGCACAAUGGGCGAAAGCCUGAUGCAGCGACGCCGCGUGAGGGAUGACGGCCUUCGGGUUGUAAACAUCUUUCAGUAGGGAAGAAGCGAAAGUGACGGUACCUGCAGAAGAAGCACCGGCUAACUACGUG
rnacentral:rRNA from 1 species